UUAUCGGUCUGUGGGGAUUGUUUUUAGAUAACUUUUGUGAUUAGCAAGUGAUGAUUCCUUGUAAUCUUGUUUGCAGCGGAAUGAAUGCACCGAGCUGAGAAAGGACGGAACAAAGAAAGAUCUUAAAAUCAAAGCUUGUUAUGUGAACAUUAUUGUGAUGUGGUUUCAUGUUAUCCAGAUUCGGAUAGCGAAGAACUUGAACUGAAGGAGCAGAAACCUGUUCUGAAGGCUCAGUUGGGAGGCGAUUCAAGUGGCAACAGAUCAAACGAUUGCUACUUCCCAGGCCUUCAUGAUGACCUAUCACAAGACUGUCUUGCCUGGGCAAGUAGAUCGGACCACCCUUUUGUUUCUUGUCUGAACAAGAGAUUCAGCGGGUAUCUGUACAAGCUGCGAAGGAAAUACGACAUCGUUGAGCACUAGGUGUACCUCGCUUGUAGCCUGAUGCCGUAUUUGGCUAAGCAAGUAUGAGCCAAGUUGAGAAAUACAUGAACACCGAUGGUUGGUGGUAGAAGCUGCUCAUUUGCUAGCUGUUGCCUAUGAACCAUUCAAUUGAUAUGUUGCUCAGUAGAUACUUGAACCAACGAAUAUCAAUAUAUUGUAUAUGCCUAA